rnacentral:misc_RNA from 1 species
GAUGAAAUUCUGGAUAUACUCCUGCAACAAAAUAGAAAGCUGAAUUCAGAAGGUGAUCAGAAAUUUGAAUUUCAACUUUGCAACGCAUUAAAUAGUUCAAAUAAAUGCAAAGUGCAAGAUAUAAAUUUGAUGAACCCCACCUGUGAACUUAUGCAACCUUUAGAGUGAUUUGAAGAACUAUUCAAGUGUUUAUAUAAAUUUAUGCACUUAGCAUGCUUAUCUAGGAGAGCUUUUACUAGCAUUUCAAGAAUGAAAUAGAUAUUUUUCUCUCGUAAAGCUUGAUUCUUGAAGGCCUUUAUGAAUAUUUAUCCAUACCCUUAUUAUGUUAUUGAAGGAGGGAUAAUAAUUAAAGCAGGGUUUCAUGUAUAUCCAAUUCAAGAUUAAAGUUGAAGUAUGCCAUACUUUGAUACACAGGAAUGGUCAA